rnacentral:rRNA from 1 species
UACGUAGGGUGCGAGCGUUGUCCGGAAUUAUUGGGCGUAAAGAGCUCGUAGGCGGUUUGUUGCGUCGACUGUGAAAACCUGGGGCUUAACUCUGGGCUUGCAGUCGAUACGGGCAGACUUGAGUUCGGUAGGGGAGACUGGAAUUCCUGGUGUAGCGGUGAAAUGCGCAGAUAUCAGGAGGAACACCAAUGGCGAAGGCAGCUCGCUGGGACGGUACUGACGCUGAGACGCGAAAGCGUGGGGAGCAAACAGG